rnacentral:rRNA from 1 species
AGUGAACGCUGGCGGUAGGCCUAACACAUGCAAGUCGAACGGCAGCACAGUAAGAGCUUGCUCUUACGGGUGGCGAGUGGCGGACGGGUGAGGAAUACAUCGGGAUCUACUUUUUCGUGGGGGAUAACGUAGGGAAACUUACGCUAAUACCGCAUACGACCUACGGGUGAAAGCAGGGGAUCUUCGGACCUUGUGCGAUUGAAUGAGCCGAUGUCGGAUUAGCUAGUUGGCGGGGUAAAGGCCCACCAAGGCGACGAUCCGUAGCUGGUCUGAGAGGAUGAUCAGCCACACUGGAACUGAGACACGGUCCAGACUCCUACGGGAGGCAGCAGUGGGGAAUAUUGGACAAUGGGCGCAAGCCUGAUCCAGCCAUACCGCGUGGGUGAAGAAGGCCUUCGGGUUGUAAAGCCCUUUUGUUGGGAAAGAAAAGCAGCAGGUUAAUACCCCGCUGUUCUGACGGUACCCAAAGAAUAAGCACCGGCUAACUUCGUG